CCUACGGGUGACAGCAGUGGGGAAUAUUGCGCAAUGGGCGAAAGCCUGACGCAGCGACGCCGCGUGAGGGAUGAAGGUCUUCGGAUCGUAAACCUCUGUCAGCAGGGAAGAACGGUCACUGUGCUAAUCAGCAGUGAAUUGACGGUACCUGCAAAGGAAGCACAGGCUAACUCCGUGCCAGCAGCCGCGGUAAUACGGAGGGUGCGAGCGUUCAUCGGAAUUACUGGGCGUAAAGCGCUCGUAGGCGGUAUGUCAAGUCAAGGGUGAAAUCCCCGCGCUCAACGUGGGAACUGCCUUUGAAUCUGGCAGACUGGAGUGUGUGAGAGGAUAGUGGAAUUCCAGGUGUAGGAGUGAAAUCCGUAGAUAUCUGGAGGAACAUCAGUGGCGAAGGCGACUAUCUGGCACAUAACUGACGCUGAGGAGCGAAAGCGUGGGUAGCAAACAGGAUUAGAUACCCGAGUAGUA
rnacentral:rRNA from 1 species